CGGACGGGUGAGUAACGCGUGGGUAACCUGCCUCAUACAGGGGGAUAGCAGCUGGAAACGGCUGGUAAUACCGCAUAAGCGCACAGUACCACAUGGUACAGUGUGAAAAACUCCGGUGGUAUGAGAUGGACCCGCGUCUGAUUAGCUUGUUGGCGGGGUAACGGCCCACCAAGGCGACGAUCAGUAGCCGACCUGAGAGGGUGACCGGCCACAUUGGGACUGAGACACGGUCCAA
rnacentral:rRNA from 1 species